UAAGGCCCAUGAUUGAAUCCUCCGCCGAGCAGGAACCACCACUCUCCUCGUCGAGAGCUUAGAUUGGAGCUAUGGCGGUGAAUUCAUAAUUACCUGAGCUCUAGGGUUUAUAUAUUCAUCUCCUUCAUCAUCAUAAUCGUACCAAAUCCAAAGUUGCACAUGGUCUAGGAGUUCACCUAACCUCAGAAGCAAAACAAUCCUGAAGUCGUAACAGUUUCCUCGCUUCUGCUAGACCCUAGCUGUGUAAGCUUACUCGUUU
rnacentral:lncRNA from 1 species